GAAAGCUUGCUUUUGAUGGGCGUCGACCGGCGCACGGGUGAGUAACGCGUAUCCAACCUGCCCACCGCUUGGGGAUAACCUUGCGAAAGUAAGACUAAUACCCAAUGACGUCUCUAGAAGACAUCUGAAAGGGAUUAAAGAUUUAUCGGUGAUGGAUGGGGAUGCGUCUGAUUAGCUUGUUGGCGGGGUAACGGCCCACCAAGGCGACGAUCAGUAGGGGUUCUGAGAGGAAGGUCCCCCACAUUGGAACUGAGACACGGUCCAAACUCCUACGGGAGGCAGCAGUGAGGAAUAUUGGUCAAUGGGCGAGAGCCUGAACCAGCCAAGUAGCGUGCAGGAUGACGGCCCUAUGGGUUGUAAACUGCUUUUAUAAGGGAAUAAAGUGAGUCUCGUGAGACUUUUUGCAUGUACCUUAUGAAUAAGGACCGGCUAAUUCCGUGCCAGCAGCCGCGGUAAUACGGAAGGUCCGGGCGUUAUCCGGAUUUAUUGGGUUUAAAGGGAGCGUAGGCCGGAGAUUAAGCGUGUUGUGAAAUGUAGACGCUCAACGUCUGCACUGCAGCGCGAACUGGUUUCCUUGAGUACGCACAAAGUGGGCGGAAUUCGUGGUGUAGCGGUGAA
rnacentral:rRNA from 1 species